GAGGCUAUAACAUCUGUCAUCCCACUGAUUGCUAAGGUUGAUUCAGCUGAUCUGGCUGGCUAGGCAGGUGUCCCCUUCCUCCCUCAGAAGAUGACUGUCUCUGGUAGAAGAGGACCAGUCUUUGGUCAAGGGUUUACUGUUA
rnacentral:snRNA from 1 species